GACGAACGCUGGCGGCGUGCCUAACACAUGCAAGUCGAACGGAACUGUUUUGAAAGAUUUCUUCGGAAUGAAUUUGAUUUAGUUUAGUGGCGGACGGGUGAGUAACGCGUGAGUAACCUGCCUUCAAGAGGGGAAUAACAUUCUGAAAAGAAUGCUAAUACCGCAUGACAUAUCGGAACCACAUGGUUUUGAUAUCAAAGAUUUUAUCGCUUGAAGAUGGACUCGCGUCCGAUUAGUUAGUUGGUGAGGUAACGGCUCACCAAGACCGCGAUCGGUAGCCGGACUGAGAGGUUGAACGGCCACAUUGGGACUGAGACACGGCCCAGACUCCUACGGGAGGCAGCAGUGGGGGAUAUUGCGCAAUGGGGGCAACCCUGACGCAGCAACGCCGUGUGAAGGAUGAAGGUUUUCGGAUUGUAAACUUCUUUUAUUAAGGACGAAAAAUGACGGUACUUAAUGAAUAAGCUCCGGCUAACUACGUG
rnacentral:rRNA from 1 species